rnacentral:rRNA from 1 species
UACGAGGGGGGCGAGCGUUGUUCGGAAUUAUUGGGCGUAAAGGGUGCGUAGGCGGUUCCGCAAGUCCUGUGUGAAAUCUUCGGGCUCAACUCGAAGUCUGCACGGGAAACUGCGGGGCUUGAGUGUGGGAGAGGGGAGUGGAAUUCCCGGUGUGAGCGGUGAAAUGCGUAGAUAUCGGGAGGAACACCUGUGGCGAAAGCGGCUCACUGGACCAUAACUGACGCUGAUGCACGAAAGCUGGGGGAGCAAACAGG